ensembl:lncRNA
CAUAAAUCUGUCUUGUCUUUCAUAUGACUUUCUUGUUACUGUUCUACAAAGAUAGCAAUUUAAUAAGGUAGCUUAGGUAGUUUAAUCAAAUGGUAGAUUAAUAUGACUCCUAGAGCUAUGUUCACUUCAGGUUUUAACUGAGCAUGUAAUCAUGAGCUAUGGUAUGGCACUGACUUUUAAUCAGAGUUCCUCUGUCUUUGCAGCAAGUGUUUGUAUGUAUAAACGUCGUCCAGAAAGGCCCAGAAAUAGAUGCUUCUCCACCUCCAUAGCAACAUUUCUGUGAAUGACCAUUUCAAGUGCUCCACACCGUUUCCGAAGCUUGUAGGAACUUCACGUAACCCACAGCACCCCACUGAUAAAAUGCAAGUGAAAAGCUUGUGGCAGGAUGGUUAAAGGAUGGCAGACUGAGUGGGGGUUUGAAUUAACUCCCAGUAGUUACUUCGAUAAGCUUCCAUUCAGAAAUUGUGGGUGGGAUUUAUCUCCAUUUACAAGUGGAAUCCAAUUAGCUCCCUCUGCAGACAGCGAAGACAGGUCUGGGAGCGACCUCCACCCUGUGGCCUGGCAGCUGCUUGGAGGGACUUCAGGAGGAGAAGAAGAAAGGCACCGCGGCCUCAGAUGACCUCAUCCUGCAGAACAGUGUGCAAUGGAAGGAUGGGCAUAAUUUCACAAGAGCAAGAGGAGCAGAACACCCUCCAGCCGGAGGAGAGGAGCUCUGAUCUGCUCACACAGCACUAUUGUGGGUGAAGUAUGAAGAUCAAGAGAGAAGAGGAAAGAUAUUUAAGAAAUGUAGGAUGAAAAUACUCAGUGGAAAAUUACACAUCUCUGGUAACCUCUUGUUGAAAUCUAGCUCUUUGUUCAACCAGCUCGAGGACAACUCAAAGAAUAGAACCUUACUGUGAGUUCGACAGAGCACUGCAACAAACUGCCCAGAGAGGUUGUGGAGUCUCCUUCUAUGAAGAUAUUCAAGACCCAUCUGGACACCUACCUGUGUGACCUAUUGUAGGGUACCUGCUUUAGCAAGUGGUUGGACUUGAUGGUCUCCAAAAGUCCCAAUCUCUACAAUUCUGAGAUGCUGUGAACUUGGGCCAACACCAGACUCAAGCUGCUUUUACCAAUGGCCUGAAACAUUGGCCACCUUUUGCAGGUGGAGAGGUUUAAAUUUAAACAUUUAGUCUCAAAACAG